GAAAACUUGAACCUCAAACACUGCAGCGGAUCCUGUGGACACUGGACAGCAUCAUGUCCAGAAGAUGCUGUGCUCUACAAUCUGAAGCUAAGAGGAGACUCUCCCUUCUGUCUCCUGUUCUCAGACGAGCGCGACGCCCACUGCGGCCACUCAUUGUUCUCUCUGUGACGAGCAAACACUUGUCGACACACACACCUGGCUCAGACAUGUCGGCGGAGAGAAGCUGAAUGGAGAGAUCCUCGGAAGUGGCGCUCCGGAGCGCAGUCAAAACAAGAGCAGGCCUGAGGCGAAUCUGACUUCAGGACAGGCGCUUUAUGAACAUGACCUGGCAGGAGUUUCUGAGGAAGGAAGACGCUGUCGCCCCCUGUUGGCCAUCACAUUCACCGGCACCACAACUGCAGAAACCAGACGCCAGAGUAAAGCGCUGAUGCUAUUAACAGCAGUUUUCCUAACAUACAUAUAAAACUGAAUAUUUCCAAAACUAUAAUAGCAGAGCAUGAUGAUGGAGCAGUUUCAGGCCGUCUCUCUCUCUCUCUCUGAGGUAAACAUGCAGAUGUGAGGCUCAGAUGUUGAUUUACAGAUGUUGAUUUACAGGCCCCGGGGUCGAGGUCGAUGCAUUAGGGCCCAAACACACCCGCGUUACAGAGGAGACGCGUCGGCCCUCGUAACACACACACUCCAUCUCAGCGCUGACCUCUGGCUCCCGACACACACACACUUCAUAUUCUACAUAUGCAGGUCAAAUAUAUCAGCAUUCGUACGGACAUACGUCUGGAUGUUUUCUCAGGGUGAUCCUGAUAUCAUAAUGAGUCUCAUUAAGAGCAAAAACACAUUAAAUAUAGCAUUGUGACAGGCUUUUAUUAUUACACUCUCAGAGAAACGCU